UACGUAGGGUGCAAGCGUUAAUCGGAAUUACUGGGCGUAAAGCGUGCGCAGGCGGUUAUGCAAGACAGAGGUGAAAUCCCCGGGCUCAACCUGGGAACUGCCUUUGUGACUGCAUGGCUAGAGUACGGUAGAGGGGGAUGGAAUUCCGCGUGUAGCAGUGAAAUGCGUAGAUAUGCGGAGGAACACCGAUGGCGAAGGCAAUCCCCUGGACCUGUACUGACGCUCAUGCACGAAAGCGUGGGGAGCAAACAGGAUUAGAUAC
rnacentral:rRNA from 1 species